AUUUUUGAAUUUUUAAAUAUAAACUUUAAUAUUAUUAUAUAUUUUUAAUGAUGUACCUACUGUUCGAUUAUGUCUUAGAAAACCAAGAUCAAAUAAAAAGGUUCAGUGGACUCAGGGUACUGUAGAUAAUGAACAUAUGAAUAAAAAGAAAUCUAAAUGUUGUUGUAUUUAUGAAAAAC